GAUGAACGCUGGCGGCGUGCCUAAUACAUGCAAGUCGAGCGAACGGACGAGAAGCUUGCUUCUCUGAUGUUAGCGGCGGACGGGGGAGGAACACGUGGAGAACCUACCUAUAAGACUGGGAUAACUUCGGGAAACCGGAGCGAAUACCGGAUAAUAGUUUGAACCGCAUGGGUCAAAAGUGAAAGACGGUCUUGCUGUCACUUAUAGAUGGAUCCGCGCUGCAUUAGCUAGUUGGUAAGGUAACGGCUUACCAAGGCAACGAGGCAUAGCCGACCUGAGAGGGUGAUCGGCCACACUGGAACUGAGACACGGUCCAGACUCCUACGGGAGGCAGCAGUAGGGAAUCUUCCGCAAUGGGCGCAAGCCUGACGGAGCCACGCCGCGUGAGUGAUGAAGGUCUUCGGAUCGUAAAGCUCUGUUAUUAGGGAAGAACAUAUGUGUAAGUAACUGUGCACAUCUUGACGGUACCUAAUCAGAAAGCCACGGCUAACUACGUG
rnacentral:rRNA from 1 species